GCGCUUGUAGCUCAACUGGAUAGAGUGCCUGACUUCGAAUCAGGAGGUUCUAGGUUCGACUCCUAGCAGGCGCACCA
rnacentral:tRNA from 2 species